rnacentral:rRNA from 1 species
UACGUAGGCAGCAAGCGUUGUUCGGAGUUACUGGGCGUAAAGAGUGUGUAGGCGGUGCUCCAAGUCUGGUGUGAAAUCUCCCGGCUCAACUGGGAGGGUGCGCCGGAAACUGGAGUGCUCGAGGGUGGGAGAGGAAAGCGGAAUUCCUGGUGUAGCGGUGAAAUGCGUAGAUAUCAGGAGGAACACCUGUGGUGUAGACAGCUCUCUGGACCACUUCUGACGCUGAGACACGAAAGUGUGGGUAGCAAACAGG